CAAGUCGAGGGGCAGCAGGACGGUAGCAAUACCGAUGCUGGCGACCGGCAAACGGGUGCGGAACACGUACGCAACUUACCCAUAACUGGGGGAUAGCCCGGGGAAACCCGGAUUAAUACCUCGUAACAUAAUUGAGUGGCAUCACUUAAUUAUUAUAGCUCCGGCGGUUAUGGAUGGGCGUGCGGCUGAUUAGGUAGUUGGCAGGGUAACGGCCUACCAAGCCUACGAUCAGUAACUGGUGUGAGAGCACGACCAGUCACACGGGCACUGAGACACGGGCCCGACUCCUACGGGAGGCAGCAGUAAGGAAUAUUGGUCAAUGGACGCAAGUCUGAACCAGCCAUGCCGCGUGAAGGAUGAAGGUCCUCUGGAUUGUAAACUUCUUUUAUAUGGGACGAAACCCGGGUAUUCCUACCCGAUUGACGGUACCAUAGGAAUAAGCACCGGCUAACUCCGUGCCAGCAGCCGCGGUAAUACGGAGGGUGCAAGCGUUAUCCGGAUUCACUGGGUUUAAAGGGUGCGUAGGAGGGCAGGUAAGUCAGUGGUGAAAUCUUCGAGCUUAACUCGGAAACUGCCGUUGAUACUAUCUGUCUUGAAUACCGUGGAGGUGAGCGGAAUAUGUCAUGUAGCGGUGAAAUGCUUAGAUAUGACAUAGAACACCGAUUGCGAAGGCAGCUCACUACACGAAUAUUGACUCUGAGGCACGAAAGCGUGGGGAUCAAACAGGAUUAGAUACCCUGGUAGUCCACGCCCUAAACUAUGGAUACUCGACAUACGCGAUACACUGUGUGUGUCUGAGCGAAAGCAUUAAGUAUCCCACCUGGGAAGUACGACCGCAAGGUUGAAACUCAAA
rnacentral:rRNA from 1 species